rnacentral:rRNA from 1 species
AUUAAACGCUGGCGGCAUGCCUUACACAUGCAAGUCGAACGGCAGCACGGGGCAACCCUGGUGGCGAGUGGCGAACGGGUGAGUAAAGCAUCGGAACGUGCCCUGGAGUGGGGGAUAACGUAGCGAAAGUUACGCUAAUACCGCAUAUUCUGUGAGCAGGAAAGCAGGGGAUCGCAAGACCUUGCGCUCUGGGAGCGGCCGAUGUCGGAUUAGCUAGUUGGUGGGGUAAAGGCCUACCAAGGCGACGAUCCGUAGCGGGUCUGAGAGGAUGAUCCGCCACACUGGGACUGAGACACGGCCCAGACUCCUACGGGAGGCAGCAGGUGGGGAAUUUUGGACAAUGGGCGAAAGCCUGAUCCAGCCAUGCCGCGUGAGUGAAGAAGGCCUUC